GUGAGGAAUUGGGGAGUGAGGAGACAUCAUGUGGGGUGACAGCAUGACUCCUUCUUCAAAUCUUCUAGCUGAGAAGCUGAGUCGGAGAUUUUUUUGCCAUCGCUUGCUACUCUUGGUUGGCAUUUCCUGAUCUUCCUUUCCCUUACACACAAAUGCCCGUAUCCUUUUAAGUGCAGCUUCCACAGUUUCAUCGUCCAUAUUGGCAAAACACACCCUAAACCAACCAGGCUCCUUGCAGUGAAAAGAAGAGCCCGGCGAAACAUUGAGCUUCACUUGGUAAAUAAUCACCCUCCACAGAGCCAUUUCCCCUUCGAACGUUGGUUCUUUAAGGAGAUGGCGCAAGUCCAUCCAAACAUAGAGACCAGCAUUGCCUUUUAAACAACUGAUCCCUACUUGUUCCAGUCCCUUUGUGAACAUAUUGUGCCUUUUGUUUAGCCUUCUUGAGCUUUCCGCAAGAAAAUUCUUCACAAACUCCUCAUCCGAAAGCAUGGAAGCCAGCAUAUAUUGAGUCUGAGAAGAGACUAACCCAAAGCUUGACAUCCUGCGACCGCAGUUCACGACUGCAUCGUUAUAGGAAUAAACGAUGCCAACUCUGAAGCCAGGG
rnacentral:misc_RNA from 1 species